UACGUAGGGCGCAAGCGUUGUUCGGAAUCACUGGGCGUAAAGCGCACGCAGGCGGAUCGUUAAGUCAGGGGUGAAAUCCCGAGGCUCAACCUCGGAACUGCCUUUGAUACUGGCGAUCUUUGAGUCCGGGAGAGGUGAGUGGAACUCCGAGUGUAGAGGUGAAAUUCGUAGAUAUUCGGAAGAACACCAGUGGCGAAGGCGGCUCACUGGCCCGGUACUGACGCUCAUGUGCGAAAGCGUGGGGAGCAAACAGG
rnacentral:rRNA from 1 species